GUUAUUUCCAAACGCUAUACCUACAUUUUUUUGUAAUCAUAUUUGUGUACUUACAUCGACCGAAAUAAAUGAAACUGAAAUUAAUGUUAAUCUGGAAUCCGAAAGCGAAGAACCUCCACGAAAGAUUUUGAUUUUAUCAGAUGUGAAUAACCUUAAAUCAAAUAAAGAUAUGAUUGACCAAACGACCAAUUAUAAAUUUGUUCAAAGUGAUUUUUCAAAGGCAUAUGUAAACACAGAUGUGACAGGCACUAAAGAUACGCCCAUCAAUUACAUUACAAGCAUAAAAUCAACAAGCAUAGGAACACAAACUUCAUCUGCAUUGACUGCCAAUAGCCCAAGAAAGCUGAAAUUGCGAUACCAAGUCAGAGGUUUAAAAAGGAAUAUAUUAAAACAAAAAAAGCAAUUUGAGCAGGCUAAAGCGAUUAAACCGAAACUCGAUAGUUUUAUUAAAUUAUGUGACAGCUUUUUAAAUAAAACUU